rnacentral:tRNA from 5 species
GGCCUCGUAGUACAAUGGAUAGUAUAAGAGUUUCCGAAGCUCCAGAUACAGGUUCGAUUCCUGUCGAGGCUACCA